rnacentral:rRNA from 1 species
GACGAACGCUGGCGGCGUGCCUAAUACAUGCAAGUCGAGCGAGCGGAACUAACCGAUUUACUUCGGUAAUGACGUUAGGAAAGCGAGCGGCGGAUGGGUGAGUAACACGUGGGGAACCUGCCCCAUAGUCUGGGAUACCACUUGGAAACAGGUGCUAAUACCGGAUAAGAAAGCAGAUCGCAUGAUCAGCUUUUAAAAGGCGGCGUAAGCUGUCGCUAUGGGAUGGCCCCGCGGUGCAUUAGCUAGUUGGUAAGGUAAAGGCUUACCAAGGCGAUGAUGCAUAGCCGAGUUGAGAGACUGAUCGGCCACAUUGGGACUGAGACACGGCCCAAACUCUUACGGGAGGCAGCAGUAGGGAAUCUUCCACAAUGGACGCAAGUCUGAUGGAGCAACGCCGCGUGAGUGAAGAAGGUGUUCGGAUCGUAAAGCUCUGUUGUUGGUGAAGAAGGAUAGAGGUAGUAACUGGCCUUUAUUUGACGGUAAUCAACCAGAAAGUCACGGCUAACUACGUG